UACGUAGGGGGCUAGCGUUGUCCGGAAUUACUGGGUGUAAAGGGCGUGUAGGCUGGAUAUUAAGUCAGAUGUGAAAGUCCUUGGCUCAACUGAGGGAUUGCAACUGAAACUAAUAUUCUAGAGUGCAGGAGAGGAAAGCGGAAUUCCUAGUGUAGCGGUGAAAUGCGUAGAUAUUAGGAGGAACACCAGUGGCGAAGGCGGCUUUCUGGACUGUAACUGACGCUGAGACGCGAAAGCGUGGGGAG
rnacentral:rRNA from 1 species